rnacentral:rRNA from 1 species
UAGUCGCCACGGUAAUACGUAGGUCCCGAGCGUUGUCCGGAUUUAUUGGGCGUAAAGGGUACGUAGGUGGCCUUUUAAGCGUAGGGUAUAAGGCAAUGGCUCAACCAUUGUUCGCCCUAUGAACUGGAAGGCUUGAGUGCAGGAGAGGAAAGCGGAAUUCCCAGUGUAGCGGUGAAAUGCGUAGAUAUUGGGAAGAACACCAGUGGCGAAGGCGACUUUCUGGACGAAAACUGACGCUGAGGCGCGAAAGCCAGGGGAGCGAACGGGAUUAGAUACCCGGGUAGUCCCUGUCUCUUAUACA